rnacentral:rRNA from 1 species
CUGAACCAGCCAAGUAGCGUGAAGGAAGAAGGCCCUAUGGGUUGUAAACUUCUUUUGUGCGGGAAUAAAGGAACCUACGUGUAGGUUUUUGCAUGUACCGUAACGAAUAAGCAUCGGCUAACUCCGUGCCAGCAGCCGCGGUAAUACGGAGGAUGCGAGCGUUAUCCGGAUUUAUUGGGUUUAAAGGGAGCGUAGACGGGUUUUUAAGUCAGUUGUGAAAGUUUGCGG